GGUCAGCUGAUCAGACCUUAAAAAGUCGGUUCGUGGCGGUCGGUUACACGCCUAAAACAACCUA
ncrna:unclassified sequences GP20-b RNA